AGAGUUUGAUCCUGGCUCAGGAUGAACGCUAGCGGCAGGCUUAAUACAUGCAAGGCGAGGGGGCAGCAAUGUCACCGUCGUACGGGUGCGUAACGCGUAUGCAACCUACCUUUUACUGGGGGAUAGCCCGGGGAAACCCGGAUUAAUACCGCAUAAUACAUCAGUAUCACCUGAUAUUGAUUGUUAAAGAUUUAUUGGUAAAAGAUGGGCAUGCGUUCGAUUAGCUAGUUGGCAGGGUAACGGCCUACCAAGGCGACGAUCGAUAGGGGAGCUGAGAGGUUGAUCCCCCACACGGGCACUGAGAUACGGGCCCGACUCCUACGGGAGGCAGCAGUAGGGAAUAUUGGGCAAUGGAUGCAAGUCUGACCCAGCCAUGCCGCGUGCCGGAUGAAGGCCCUCAGGGUUGUAAACGGCUUUUAUUCGGGAAGAAGAGCAGGGAUGCGUCCUUGUGUGACGGUACCGAAUGAAUAAGCACCGGCUAACUCCGUGCCAGCAGCCGCGGUAAUACGGAGGGUGCGAGCGUUGUCCGGAUUUAUUGGGUUUAAAGGGUGCGUAGGUGGCUUUAUAAGUCAGUGGUGAAAUACAGCCGCUCAACGGUUGAGGUGCCAUUGAUACUGUAGAGCUUGAAACAAGUGGAGGCUGCCGGAAUGGAUGGUGUAGCGGUGAAAUGCAUAGAUAUGCCAUAGAACACCGAUAGCGAAGGCAGCCUGCUAAAGUUGUACUGACGCUGAUGCACGAAAGCGUGGGUAGCGAACAGGAUUAGAUACCCUGGUAGUCCACGCCGUAAACGAUGUCAACUAGCCGUUGGGAGCCUUGAGCUCUUAGUGGCGCAGCUAACGCAUUAAGUUGACCGCCUGGGGAGUACGGCCGCAAGG
rnacentral:rRNA from 1 species